GUGACCAUUAUUAGUUCCUGUAAGUGAAAAGUGCUUGGUCAAAUGGUAUGUGCAUUUAAAGUUUUUGUAGAUAUUACCAAAUUUCCCUCCAUAUUGGUUAUAGCCAUCUACGUUUCGCCAGCAAGGUAUGAGAACUAUCAUAGCACCUAUUUCAUGGCUUGCUUUACCCACUAGAUUCAUGGCUCAUCACUAUAUUCCCAGCAUGUGGUAAAGGCCUACACACCUUGUCUCCCCCUACUUUGUGCUUCUUCAAAAUAACUCCGUUGUUCUUGGCCUUUUGGGCUCACUCUUUAAACUUGACCCCAGCAUUUCCCUUAUGGCCUGGGAAGAGGGGAAGGGUCUGCUCUCUACCUUUUGCCCUCAUACCCUGUGUUCAAGAACCUACUCUCAUCCCACCUUGGGCAGACUGACUUUCUGGAUGACUGUAACCCCCAGAGAUCUUAUCUCUGAACUGCUGCAUUCAAUGUUGGGCCCUGCAACCUAGCACUCGGUCAUAUCCUGUUUGCUUGCUAAUGUUCAUGUAAUUUGUAUUUCCAGCUAGAUUAUAAUAAACUCUUUGAGUAUUUGUGAUUAUAUAUAUAUAUAUAUAUAUAUAUAUAUAUAUAUAUUUUUUUUUUUUUUUUUUUUUUUUUUUUUUUUCUCUAGACUAUCAGCAAAUUGGCUCCCUCUGUGUGACUGAUCUUAUCCUAGGGACUUGGUACUAUCUUCACCAUGGCUUUGUAAAGUAUCAUUUUCCUCAUUUUACAUAUGAGGAACCUGAGGUUCAGCGAGGUUAGAUGGUGAAUCUUAAGUUAUCAGCUAGUGAGAUUGAAUGAUUAGGCCAGCAUUCAAACUCAGGUCUAUCUGACCCAAAGCUCUUGUGCCCUUAGCUUUUUGUUCUGGUUGGAUUUGUAACCUCUUGUCCUUGCUGGCCACCAGUCUGGCACCCUGUGGGACAAGGCCAGAUAAAAUGGUUCUUUGGGUGGUGUCUGGUAGCCCAGAAUUCUCUGCAAACCUCUUGUCACUGCAGAUAGAAGCCCAUGCCUACCUGUUGCUUUAGUCCAGACUACCUUUUCCCUCAGGACCCGCCUAUGGGCUGCCCCCUCCAUGAACCCCUACUUGGUAGCCCAUAUGGUCUUUGUAGGCCCCUGAUGACUUGCCCCAGUCAUUUUUGGCAAGUGGGGCCUUGAGCAGGGCCAGCAGCAGACAGAGAGUAUCCUGGAGCCAGUGAGGCAUGCACUUUAUCAUCAGAAGCACAAGUGUGAUCUAGAGAUGGAAAGCAGGCUUCCUGCCAGGAGAAGAAACACAAACCAAAGAGAACCUGUCUAAAAGUUUGAACUGAACUCUGCUACUUUUCUGUCUUUGAGAUCUGGAGGACUUUUGUUCUCUUGUUGAAUCCUUUUCCAAACAUACCAUACACGUGGCUAAAACAGAUAAAACAUAAACUCUCUGCAGAGAGCUUCCUAAAGAAUAAGAAACAUCUUGCUUUCAGUGCUAUGCACACGUGAUCACUUCUUCGCUGCUUAGCCAAGUCCUUUGGUUUAUGCCAGCAAACUGGGAGGAAAAAACGUUUUUUUGUUUUUUUGUUUUUAAGUCACUCACCUCCCUUCCCCCAGGGAAAGCAUGAAACAGCAAAUUUUGUAAAAACAGGCCAGUCAUGCUUUGGGUUUAGGUUUGGGGUGGGGGGGGGGGGGGGGGGGGGGGGAGGGGAAAGCCAGUCCUGACAAGGAGUAGGAGAGAUUUAGGAAAAGAGAAAAGUGCUAUGGGCAAGCACUCUAUUCCUGGUUUGUUCCAUAAACAAUUCAGCAUCUUAAAAUCUUAAGCAUCUUAAAAUAUCAGCACAGAAGCCCUCUCUGACACUAAUGGGAUAUCUAGGGUUAAGAAUUCUGUUUGUUGAAAGUAUUCAACAAAUGAGCAGUGAGUGUUUCAGUUAGUGAUUCUCUUCCUUUGUCCCCAAGGUAGAGUCAGAAUUGACUAGAAUAUGGAGACAACUCUUCUCACUGACAGUGACCUAGGAGAGGCUUAUGAGGUACCAUGCCCACCCAGAGGAAGGAGGCUGAGCAUUGGGGGUAUCCUCGAGAAGAUAUGGUACCCAAUCUUUUGACAAGGAGGAGAAGCAAUUCUGUAGUUGAAAACAUUUUGAGAAAAACUUACAAGUAGCCUCCUGUGGGUACCAUUUCCUUAGUACUCAGAUGGAAGUGUGGCUUCUCUGCUUGGCAGACAUUUCUGUACAACUGUGACCACUCUUCAUACCUUCCUUCUGAAAAGCUUGGAGCCCACACCCAAUCUCAUGAAUUCCCUUGCAUUCCCUAGGAAACAGGAAUUACAAAUUCAUUCAUUUGAUAAGCACCCCCUGUAUGAAUACUCCCCUGUAUUAGGUGCUAGUAGUACAAUGAGGAAUGAGAAAAAUUUUCUGUAAGUCCAAAAUUAUAGUCUACUUAGAGCAGUGAGGCCACAGGAAUCAUUGUAGUUGAAGGCAAGACAUGCUUUGUUGGAGGGAAGAUGCAGUUGAUCUUGAUCCUGUUUUUUUAGGGGUGAGUACAUUUAGAAAUAGCCAAGAGGGCCAGAGUAAGCAAUGUUGGGAAGGCAUAAGGCAUGUUUGGAAACCAUGUGGCCAGAACAAUGAGAGAAGACACAGUAUGGGCACCUUGAAUGGCAAGUAAUGGGAUAUAGACAUAGGAGAACUGAUUGAGCAAUCAAAAAUGCUAUUGGGCAGAGAAAUGACAAGAUAAAAGCUUUUUAGGGCAGAUUAACCCAGCUACUUUGUAGGGGACUUUUUGGACUGUAGUGGACUAGAGAGCCUGGAUGAAGUGGGGAAGUCGGGAGACUCUGGAAGGCUUGAUUGUGGUGGUUAUGAUGAGGUUAAGUAGAGAGGCAGGGGCAGAUGUGCUAGAGGAACAUCAUGCUGGCAGGAUUCACCAGACACAGCCAGUGACUAGAUGUGAUGACAAGCUGUCAGAGACAGCUCCUGAUUUUCAGCUCCAAUGGCCAAGAAGAUGCUGAGGCAGGUAAUAGAAGUCAGAGAGUCAAGAGUCAGAAGCUAGCAGGCUUUGGGAGAAGAUGCUAGGUUCCAUUUGUAGUGUCAGAGCUUCAUCUUCCAGGGUCAGGUGCACAACUGGAGUUAAGAACACAAGAUUGACCAUUAAGAAAGGCCAGAGUGGGAGGUACACUUGGGUUGUCCUUGGAGAAGUGACGCUUAUUGAGAUGGAGUUGAGAAGUAAAUAGCCAAAGCCCAGCCUAACACCUGGCCCAGAACAAGGCUGAAAUGCUCAUGGAAGGGAGGAAGAACUGAAUGGGUGAAUGAGCCAAGGGCAGAAUCCUGAGAAGCACUUGCAUGGACAGAGUGAGAGGAAAAGGAACAGUCUCUUAGAGAAGAAGAGAGAGAAUAUGUCUUCAAAAAGCUAAUAGAAGGGCACCUUCUGGCUGGUUGGCUCAGUGGUUGAUUCAGUUCAGGGCGUGAUCCCCGGGGUCCUGGGAUCGAGUCCCACAUUGGGCUCCCCACAGGAAGCCUGCUUCUCCCUCUGCCUAUGUCUCUGCCUCUCUCUCUGUGUUUCUCAUGAAUAAAUAAAUAAAA
rnacentral:lncRNA from 1 species